rnacentral:rRNA from 1 species
GACGAACGCUGGCGGCGUGCUUAACACAUGCCAGUCGAACGGAAAGGCCCUGCUUUUGUGGGGUUCUCGAGUGGCGAACGGGUGAGUAACACGUGAGUAACCUGCCCUUGACUUUGGGAUAACUUCAGGAAACUGGGGCUAAUACCGGAUAGGAGCUCCUGCUGCAUGGUGGGGGUUGGAAAGUUUCGGCGGUUGGGGAUGGACUCGCGGCUUAUCAGCUUGUUGGUGGGGUAGUGGCUUACCAAGGCUUUGACGGGUAGCCGGCCUGAGUGGGUGACCGGCCACAUUGGGACUGAGAUACGGCCCAGACUCCUACGGGAGGCAGCAGUGGGGAAUAUUGCACAAUGGGCGGAAGCCUGAUGCAGCAACGCCGCGUGCGGGAUGACGGCCUUCGGGUUGUAAACCGCUUUCGCCUGUGACGAAGCGUGAGUGACGGUAAUGGGUAAAGAAGCACCGGCUAACUACGUG